GCUGCAAUAAAAGAUAAUGCUACAUCUACAAAAGUCAAGAUGACAAGGAUGAAUUAAGAUGAUUUCUAUAUAUCAGCAUCAAGAUAGAAAUCUUUCCUGCGGCAUCAGUCUAUACCUCACCAUAUCAUACCAUUUUCAAAAGUGGGAUGAAAAAUAUAUUCUGGCCAUGAGGGAAGAAGAAACACACAAGGAAAAUGGAAUAAUACUAUCACAUUGAAGACUAAAGGAACCUAUUUUGGAGAAUAAAAAAAUAGAAUUUAAAAACUGUGUGUAUGAUUGGAAUGGCUAUCUUGCACAUGACCAUACAUUUAAUCUGAAGCCAACUGCUGGUAUGCGCUAAAGAUUUUGAACACUUACUUAAAUUUUCUUCUUUCUGUAAUUAAGAACUAUCCGUUUUGUUUUUGCUUUUUUUUUUUCAUUUUAUUGUCUUAGGAACUACUCUUUUUGUAUGACUUUGUUCCUUAACAUUUUUUCUGUAUUUACCUUUACCUUUCCUCUAUUUUUAAUCUUCUUCAAACAUGUCCUGCUUUAUCAACCUCAAAAAUGUUAUUUCUAUAAAAAUAAAAGUAACAAACUAUAUGUUUAUUAU
rnacentral:lncRNA from 1 species